AUACAUAUGCUAAAGUUUCUUAGUGUUUUUAUUGGCAGUCUGAACUGAUAUUGGGGACUUCAAAGCUUGCAAUUAUGCCCUAUAUAUGUACCUGGACAAGACCUCCAAUUCGUGACCUCCAACCAAUUCAGUGAGCUAUGUCAGAAAUGAAUAUGAGUGAGGAGUGUUAGAUGGACUGAAGAAUUAUCUAUUGGCUGAUUUAGCAUUCGUUUAAUGUACAACAUGGGCACUCGAGUUGUGUUUUCCUGUAAAUAUGGAC